CCUACGGGGGGCAGCAGUGGGGAAUAUUGCACAAUGGGCGAAAGCCUGAUGCAGCAACGCCGCGUGAGUGAUGAAGGCCUUCGGGUCGUAAAGCUCUUUGAUCAGGGAUGAUAAUGACAGUACCUGAAAAACAAGCCACGGCUAACUACGUGCCAGCAGCCGCGGUAAUACGUAGGUGGCGAGCGUUGUCCGGAAUUACUGGGCGGAAAGGAUGCGUAGGUGGAUACUUAAGUGGGAUGUGAAAUCCCCGGGCUCAACCCGGGAACUGCAUUCCAAACUGGGUAUCUAGAGUGCAGGAGAGGAAAGCGGAAUUCCUAGUGUAGCGGUGAAAUGCGUAGAUAUUAGGAGGAACACCAGUGGCGAAGGCGGCUUUCUGGACUGUAACUGACACUGAGGCAUGAAAGCGUGGGUAGCAAACAGGAUUAGAUACCCUGGUAGUCA
rnacentral:rRNA from 1 species